UAUACCGAGACAUUCCAUUGCCCAGGGAC
rnacentral:piRNA from 1 species